CUUUUCUUUUAAUGUUUCUAAAUUAUAUACAUAAAAUUCAGGUAUACUUUGAAGGAACAAUGAAAAUUGAAGGACUUAAAGGGGACUGUCAAAGUUUGUUCAAUAUUCCUGUGCUGGAACAAAUAUGGAUGUUUAAUAAUGAAGUUCUCUCGAAUGAUCGGAGCUUAUUGUCAUAUGGAAUACAGAACAAAGAUCAGAUCAAUGUGAAAAAGCAGGGAGAUAAUUAAAAAUUCCUCUGAAAGUUGCCGAACUGUAUAAUAUUGAGCAUUCCGAUGAUGGCACUUUUAUAUCUGCAAUGAUUAUUUUAUUAAGAUAUAAUUAUUUGCCUUUUCUACUUGUUUUAUUAAACAAAAUUUGUAUAUAUUUUGUUACAUGUUACUUAUUCUGUUCGCCACUCACAACUUAAUUAUUAUAAUGGCAAGACU